CCUGAACUAGUAGUUAGCUAUGACUGUUCUGCUUUGGUUUGGUUUCUGAUAUUUUGCAGAAACUCUGCUUAAGUGAAGGUGGGUGGUGUAAUGGUUAUAAUAACUCUGAUAAUAAGGGCUGUUACGUGUGGGUCAUUGGCUCUGGACUGGGUUUUCUUACCUGCCCUUCACAGAUGUGGGAUUUGAGUAACUUGGCAGAGCUCACUUUGCUAGUUGGUAACAGAACUUGGACACAAGCCCGUCCCAUGCUGGCUCCGCAGUGCGUGCCUGGAACUCCGUGUUAGAAGUUCUUAGAAAGAACUUCGGAACUGAUGCCAGGAGGGGGACAGUGCUCGGUGUCCUGUGGACAGUCAGAAGGCUGUGAGUUCUGAGCAGGAGCUCGCCUCGGCUAGGAGCAUUCCAGUCCAUAAGAUGUGAUGGAAAGGAGCGGAGGAGAGAACAACAAUGAAAGAGAGUGAGAAGCGUUGUUCAAACCUGAAACUUGGAUCCCUCAUUCCUUUUAGUCUCACAUUCCGCAUCCAAUCCAGAGGCAGGUCCAGUCAGCUCUGCUUCUGGAACAAACCCGAAUCCAGCCUCGGUGCUCCAGGAUUGCCCAUGGGCACACCACGAACACCCUGCUGUCCAGGAUGGUCCCCCCCUCUCAGCGGCAGGGGACAAAUAAAAGAUCAUCUACCAAUAACUUCCUCAGGA